GACGAACGCUGGCGGCGUGCCUAAUACAUGCAAGUUGAGCGAUGAAGAUUGGUGCUUGCACCAAUUUGAAGAGCAGCGAACGGGUGAGUAACGCGUGGGGAAUCUGCCUUUGAGCGGGGGACAACAUUUGGAAACGAAUGCUAAUACCGCAUAACAACUUUAAACAUAAGCUUUAAGUUUGAAAGAUGCAAUUGCAUCACUCAAAGAUGAUCCCGCGUUGUAUUAGCUAGUUGGUGAGGUAAAGGCUCACCAAGGCGAUGAUACAUAGCCGACCUGAGAGGGUGAUCGGCCACAUUGGGACUGACACACGGCCCAAACUCCUACGGGAGGCAGCAGUAGGGAAUCUUCGGCAAUGGACGAAAGUCUGACCGAGCAACGCCGCGUGAGUGAAGAAGGUUUUCGGAUCGUAAAACUCUGUUGGUAGAGAAGAACGUUGGUGAGAGUGGAAAGCUCAUCAAGUGACGGUAACUACCCAGAAAGGGACGGCUAACUACGUG
rnacentral:rRNA from 1 species